UAAGCCACGUGAAGUCGGACACAAGGGCUUUGGGCUGGAGUAGCCUGUGGCUUUUAAGGCUUCGUGUCUCAUCGCGUUAAACGAUCGCAGAACGAUUUAUUUCUCUUUUUCACCUCGAUCUUUGGCCUCGUGUGAUUUACCAAAACCAACAUGUGAAGUUACAACGCUGACGAAGGAGUUUCAUCAGUAGAGUGUGUCCUGGAAAACGUGUGCUCGGAAACAUGCAGAAUACAGUAUUUACAGAGCCGACCUUGAGGCACCCACUGAUGGAUAAUCUGUUUACCUAAAACAGGAGGAGACAUCGCAGAAAUCAGAGACUGCAUGGUAGAAGGGAGAGGAUUUCCAGGAUCAUUUUACCAGAUAAGUUCACGCGUCUCUCUGCCUUUAUUUAUCGGCCUGUAUAUCACAUGCACCUGCAGGAGCAUCAUCUCUGCUUAUUUGCAACCAUGCGCUAAUUUGCGCUGCUCUUAGUAGAUUGGUUGGUCAUUAUGGAAAUCAGCUGUUGCGCCUGUGUUAUUUAAUUAGCGCUUUUUUAGUAAAUAACCCCCAGAUAUCACCACUCCCAUCAGCGCAUUUUUGGAAUUGCGCUCAUGCGCUAAUUUGCCCUGUUUAGUAAAUCUGGCCCUUAAUGUUUAAUGCUCUUUUACCUUGAUUGUUAGGGUGGUGUUCAUACAAAGCAACUUAUUGCUCAUCUGCUUGAGAGAAAGUUACUGCUGGGGCUCUCCUGCUAAGGUUGUCUUAAUUCUAAAAAGAAAUUAAGUCAUUUAGGCUUAGGUCAUAGCAAGUUUUGAAUGAAUGACUUCACAAUCUGUUUUAAUAAUGUUUAUUUACAAUGUAUUUUAUUCCACUUACCUGAAUCGUGCAGAGGCUUGAUGUUUAGUCCACCUGUUGUCUUCUCCAACCUCUGAGUGAAGCCACCACGAGUGGUCGUGUUAACCAAUUUUUUUAAUUUUAGUGCACAGUGAGUGUGUCUACAUAGUCUAAACGCUUAAUAAACUGAUAACGUGUAAGGUCAUUUAAAUGCAUAAAAUGGUUUUCUUUUAUAGGGUAAAGCCCAUAAAUGGCAAAAACUGAUUGGCACAGGUAGUUUUUUGCUCUUAAACCAGAUUUUAAAGUCUUUUUUGCCGUUUCGUAUGUGCGUAUGUCUCCACCUGUGAUAGAUAAACUUCACAAAUAAAAGUAAAUUAAAACGCUUGAAACAUGUUAAUGUAAUAAGCUGAUUUUUAUAAUAUCAUAAUAAGAUAAUUGUCCUCUUAUUAUGUGCAUGUAAACAUACUCAAUGUCUUUGUUUAUCCUUUGUCUCAAGUCACACUGAGUGUGAGAAGUCAUUUGUCCAGUGCUGUCGGGAAAUCUAAUGAUAACUGCAAUUCCUUCAGUCUAACAUGAUGGUUGAAUUACACACAGAUAAACUCCCACUUUAUAGACCACAAGAUUUGAGUUCAGGCAGAUUAAGAUAGUUGAUUGAGUUUAGUUGUUAUUGUUUGGCUGUUGGCUCAUAUUAUUAUUGAUUUUGACAAUUUUCUUACAGCCCUUGUCUGUCAAAAUAAUGCAACCUCUGGUUGUAAAGCACAUUUUAAACUGAUCUUCUUCAUUCUGUCACUAGCCCACCACAAUCCAUGUUUACCAGCUGUGAAAGUGCAGGACAAAAAUAUUCCUUCACCUGUGGGCCUCUACCCACAUGUAGAUAAGCACUUCAGGAGAAACCUGCCUGUGAUCUGCUAAGAUUCACAGAUUCAACUCUGGCCCAUUGUCAUCCCAACACCUCAUCUGCCAUCAGUUUCGUUUAGUGUCGGUCUAUUGCAAAAGUUCUUAUAAACUUUAAAUGAGACUUUGUGUUAAGCAGGGGUUUCCAAACUUUUCAUUCCACAACAUAUUAAGCCCAGGAUACACAGCAGGAUUUUUGCAAUCCAAUAAGACCUUAUCACACUGUGUGACAAGGAUUGUUUAAACUUCAGCAGUAGACUGUCGAUGAAGACACCUAUUGCAUCUGAAGCUGCGACAUCUGUCAUCAACAUGCGCUAGUGGUAAACAAAUACAGGUAUGCAGGUCGUAGAAGCAAACACAUUGUUGAUGUGCGUUGAUCAUGCUGAACUUCUUACACUGUCAUAAAACUAUCGUAGGUGUCUUUGGUCCCAGGACUGGGAAAACAGACGUCUUUAAACCUCUCACACUGUAUGAGAUAGGACCACCAAUUAAGAGCCACGAUCACAGAAAUCUCCACAAUUGUUUCACGAUUGGUAAUCUUUCAUCUGGGACAGCCAAAAAUCGUGCCGUGUAUUAUGGGCUUUAGACAGGUGUAAUCUUAUAGUAUAUCAAAACCAUUGCUAAUAAUUAAUUGGACAAACCAUCACUACAAUGCAACACUCACUAUCUUACGGUGCGACCCACAAGUGGGUCUUCACCCACAGUUUAAAAACCCUGAGUAUGAGAAAGAGUAUGUUGUAUUGUAAUUAAAGUCACAUCUAAGUGUUAUGGAACAGUUUGUCAUUAUAUUCACAGUAUUACAUGGUUCUUUCAGCAGUUACUACGUUACAGUGCUCUUAAAGUGUCCUGAUCAGCUUUGGGUCUUGUGAAGUAAUGUAAUGAGAACGUGAUCAAUAGCUUUGCAGUAUUUUGUUACACUGUGGCUGUAAUCAUAUUAACACAUAGGUUAAACAUUUUAUUCAAAUUUGGUAAACAAACUAGUCAAUAUAAUUCAUGCUGUGAUGCUGGAUUAAACCUGGUCAAAUGAU